UAUUCCCUCCAAGAGUGUUUAACAGACGGACUAUAACUGACAUACCUAAAUCUUAUCCGUUGCUUACUAUCUCUAGCUAUGUUUCCUAAUUCAUUCUAAUUUUCCUAACGUCUUAUCCACAGAUUUUGAUAUUAUUCUCUCAAUCAUUGUUCUAUUUUUAAUGAUUGAGGAUUCUUUCCUACUGUAUGAAUUUAUCUUAUGGUUCUAACUAGAUUCUCUUGUAACUUUUCUUACUAAUUGAAUUUAAAUCUAUUUCUAUUGUGUACCUAUUAAUAUCUUCCUUCAUUUUUAAACUUCUUAUCAUGAUCUAUUCUUCCCUUGAUAUAUGAAGGUGCAUUGGAAAGCACAUCUCUUAUGAUCUCUUCUGUUUUAUAUUAUCUAAUCUAUUACUCAAAUUCUAGUCUAAUCAUCAUCUGUCUAAUCUGUAAAAUGGAGAUUCCUGCUGUCAUCAUAAACAUUGCCGUAAGUAAAUAUGCUAAUAACUAAAUUUAAUCCUUUGGUGUAUUUCAGAUCAUCUGCUAUGGAAUUUUCCGAUGUCCGGCACGUUGUGGUUUUUUCCAUUGCUGAUCAGGUACGUAUCUAUUCAAUACUUUAUGCCUUGUUUCUGUGUCUCUCUUCUUUCAGGCGCUGCAUCAUCCUUCUGGAGUCGUGGAGUCCUCCUGCUUGUCCUUACGCCAGGUGAAAUACUACAACGGUGGACCGGACUUCAACUUCAAUGGCAUGCAUCUAGUAAUGUAUAAUGCUUAUAAUUAUGUGAACUGUAAAGAAGGUAUUUAUUUUUGUUUUUGUGAUCAAUAAAGAAUUCUUCGUGUUUACAACUACCCACUUGUUUUGUUACUUGUUACUUACAAAUUCAUCAUUAUAACUGUGUUGUGUUGUGCUGAGCGAAAAAUUCUUCAUUCAUGCUGGUCAAGUAUGUAUUCUCUUAAGUAUCCUAAGUGGUCAAUAGUAUGUGUGGAAUGACCCUUGACAUAAACGUGAUUUUACUAGUUGACUAAUUAAUCUAAAGAUUGUUAAGAUUUUGUGUUGUCGCUGAACGUUAAGUUCUACUCUUGGCGAUUUCUUGCCGCUUCCGCAGUUCGCCCUUGAACAAACGACAUCUGUGAUAGUGGAAAAACCUCAGUGGACGCCUAUAUACGUAUUUCGACUCUGUCCAAGGAGUCUCAUCAGUAGGCUUUAUUGUGCAACUACCGGGGGUGUUUUUGAUUGACCUAAUGGCCCUUUUUUGAGAAAAACCUAAUGUGUGGGCCCCUAACUUAUGACUUUGGAAAUAAUGCAGAUCAAUUGAGUGGGGACUCAACAUCCCGAUAAUCAAAGUAAAGUAGAGUAAGGUGAAAAAAUUUUAUUUUAGAGAGAUAUUCCUACGUUUCCUAUACUUAAUUUGAAUCUUUCCCUGUUUUCCUAAUCUAACUUGAGAUACCAAAAAAACACACAUGCCCACGUACCUUGUCCUCUGUCAACACAGUUUUAAUUGUGUACGCUCCAUCUUUCGCUUCGUGGUUUGUUGCUUCCCUCGGUGUAUCUUUUCCUCAAUACGUCCUUCCUAUGUGCAAGAACUUCCUUCUGGAUUGGUUGCAUCAUUUGUCCAACACUGCCUUUCAUAGAUAAGUAGAGUAUUGCCAAACACCUUUUCACCACUACACUUUUUACAUAAUCAACUGUUCACCUUGAACUUCCAGUAUGAAUUGGACCAUUCUUCGGUCAUUCCUUGUUUUUAUACUGCUUGUUCCAGUUUCAUAUGUUCCGGUUUUUUACCGUUGCUUUCUUUAUGUGUAUGGUGUUUUUAUUGAUGUGUAAGUGUUGGGCUCUUGCAUUGGGCAAAUGCAGGCUGUACCUCUACAUUCCAAGUUUGGACUUUUGUUGACUAAGCGGACUUGUACGAUCCUUAUUACUUCAUUAUCUGUUCUCCUAGCUAUUAUAUCAUACCUUCUCUUACCUAUGUGCUAAUAUUGCUAUUUUCGUACUGAGUUAGAUAAGACAAAUGGUCACCUAUCCUAUUUCCUAGUGAAAAAGGAGGCUGACGUGCAGGCACGAGUCAAGGCCGUAGAACGUGUGGAUUGUGCUGUUCUCAUCAGCUUUUUUCUGACCUAAGGAGGCACUAUUUCAGGGGUCUCUCCUCGUAAUCAGCUGAGCACUAUCCGUUCAACCCCCAGCGACUCAGGUAAGAACAACUUUUUUUUUGGGUUGGUCAACAACUUGCAUUCUACAUUGCAAGCUGUCUUGUCCCGUCGACAAUCAACCUAUGACCAUUUUGUGAAAAUAUUAACUACAUACUCGUGAAGAGAUAUCCACGAACCGCAACUGCUGCCACUCUCUUACAAGGUCCACCCACUCACAGUACAGGUCCUUGUCGUCUACAAGCACAUUUCAGUUACGUCCUGGCUACAAGCUCAUUCUGUCAUUUUUUGCUAUUUCUAUCUGCCGUAAAGGCUGUUAUAGCAAUCUUUAAUAUUGACGUGGACUGGGCUCUAUUAUUGCCUUAUAUCUGGUUCUUCAUUUUCCACCAGAUAUACCUAUUGUUAAAUGUGGUCGUACCCUGGGUGACUGAGACUACUCAUGUAAAUACAGUUACCCCCUCAUAUGGAUAUAGAGAGAGCAUCCAAUAUGGAGAACGCAACUACAUUCUACUUGGAAGCAGACCGAUGUCCUCCGACCUCUCACUUCAAGAUCACAAAAGAUAAGACAGGAUAGUGUGGAAAAAUUGAAAUAUGGUGAGAGUAAAAAGGUAAAAAAUUAUUAAAGUGAGAAUGCUCCUCAUUGGGCGAGACUUCCCUAUGUACUUUAUACCUUAAAGUAAGUGAGGGCCUGUUUGUUCGCAAUGGGCAUCCUUUUAUUCGUCGGUUUAGCCAGGCAAUCUAUGACUAGGUGACGAAUACUGAAGUUUGAUGUGCUACCACAUCUAGCUUCAAGGCGAAAAAAUGUGAAAAUUAGAGAUAGGAGAGAGUAGUAUGAAAGGAGAAUGCACCUUUAUGGGCUGAGAUUUCCCCUAUGUACCUUGUACUCCAAAGCCAGUGAGGGGCUUGGUCUCUCCAAAUUUGGCAUUCCUGUGUUCAUCGGUUUAGCCAGAAAAUACCUAAAAGGCACCCCUUUAGCUGGGUGACGAACACCUAUCUCUCAAUGAGACAGUCAUGGGGAAUCUGAGUUGCCACCCGAGUGUGGUUCAGCUCACCAGCAGGUCCCACAGUUCAAGCUGCAGGCCAGUAUAUCUUUGCAGCCUGAAGACAUCCUACAUUGUUUGGGAUGUAUAUUUGGUCUGUGGAUGUACAUUAUAUUCCCACUUAUUCCCUCCAAGAGUGUUUAACAGACGGACUAUAACUGACAUACCUAAAUCUUAUCCGUUGCUUACUAUCUCUAGCUAUGUUUCCUAAUUCAUUCUAAUUUUCCUAACGUCUUAUCCACAGAUUUUGAUAUUAUUCUCUCAAUCAUUGUUCUAUUUUUAAUGAUUGAGGAUUCUUUCCUACUGUAUGAAUUUAUCUUAUGGUUCUAACUAGAUUCUCUUGUAACUUUUCUUACUAAUUGAAUUUAAAUCUAUUUCUAUUGUGUACCUAUUAAUAUCUUCCUUCAUUUUUAAACUUCUUAUCAUGAUCUAUUCUUCCCUUGAUAUAUGAAGGUGCAUUGGAAAGCACAUCUCUUAUGAUCUCUUCUGUUUUAUAUUAUCUAAUCUAUUACUCAAAUUCUAGUCUAAUCAUCAUCUGUCUAAUCUGUAAAAUGGAGAUUCCUGCUGUCAUCAUAAACAUUGCCGUAAGUAAAUAUGCUAAUAACUAAAUUUAAUCCUUUGGUGUAUUUCAGAUCAUCUGCUAUGGAAUUUUCCGAUGUCCGGCACGUUGUGGUUUUUUCCAUUGCUGAUCAGGUACGUAUCUAUUCAAUACUUUAUGCCUUGUUUCUGUGUCUCUCUUCUUUCAGGCGCUGCAUCAUCCUUCUGGAGUCGUGGAGUCCUCCUGCUUGUCCUUACGCCAGCUCUAUCUAAUCCAAAAUGGAAAACGUGUCAAGAAGAAGAAAACCAGCAAUGGAAAAUCAAACGACCCAACAAAUCCCAUAUGGAAUGAGGCAUUCAACUUCAGUGUACCUACAUCUGCUGUAAACUCAACAGGAAUUGAGAUUUACGUUGUAUCGACCGGAGGUGAAGCCAAUGCAAUCGGCAGUUGCGGUCUCGGCCUACAAGAGCAUGGCCCCGGAAAGCAGCACUGGCAGGAUAUGAUCCACAACGCACGGAAACCCACAGCCAUGUGGCACUAUCUCAGAUAAGUUGCAAAUUCCACCAAGGACUACAUAGAAACGUAAGACAUAAGGAAUCAAGCCAGAGCAACCCGAAGGGAAUUAGUUAUUCGUGUAUUGACCAGAUAGACCAAAGUGACGGAGCAAAAUCGACCACAGGGAUCCUGCGGACUUAGGGAAAAUGUAGGUUAUUUUGAGUAAUGCGUGUAGCGGUAGUUAGUUAGGCAGGCAGAGAUUUGCAACUGAUUAAGUGUCCAUUACCAGAAAUUAUGCUGUUUAAAAUGUGCUUUUCAGCCCGAAAUAUUCCAUUCCAUUCAACGGAGUCCUGCAUGGUUCAAAUGUACCUGAAACGUUUUGUAAAUUGAUUGAUGUAUUGGAGAUUAAAUGAAUAGUUGAACCUUCCUUUCCCUGUUGUAAAAUAGCAUUCAGCCUUUCCUGUACGAGGAUCCUUAAAUGUCCUAAGUAGGUAGGGUGCUGCACCCUUGACUAUUUCUGCUUCAAGUAGUUGAGGUUUUUGUUCGAUUGAAAUUUAUACCCUGAGCCACUUGAACGUCAUGUUUUUGUUGACAAAUUUUUCGCCGCUUUAUUUUCUUCUUUUGCAAUAAAACGAUUUGAGUGGAGGGUCUUGAGUAGCAAUUUUCAGAAUUAAUAGUGUGUUUUGUUGUCAUCGCAUGGGAAUCAAUUUCAUUCAUGGGGUAAAAGUGGAAUAAUGUCGCAAUGGGUUUGGGGACAUAUGGAAAUUAUUGGCUUUUUAUUAUACGAUUUUGAUUUUUGAGUGGUAUUUGCUGGCAAUGGCCCUUCAAUAAUUUCGAAGUAUGUAUGUAUCCUUAUAAUUAAUAUUUCAGAAGGAAGAGCUAAUUUCGUAGUUUAUUUCUAUCUGCCAGAAACUGAUAUAAAAUUUUGUUAAGAUGAAAUUAAUUACACCCAAUCAAUGAAGAAUUGAAAAGAUCUUGCUCCCUUAUUUUAGAUGUUUACAUUAAGUUUUCUAUAUUUUCUCCCAAAUGUUUGGUUUAAAUGGGAUAGUAAGGUGUUCAUUAUACAGAAUGAUGUAAACACACUUUAAAUAUUUUGCUUUUCUGCUUUUGCCUUUCCAUAAAUGUUCUUCUGCCUUUGCAAUUUUGAGGCGAUACCUUCUACUUUUGACUUAAAGUACUUCCUACCACCAAAAUAUCGAGCUACAAAUGUGCUAGCUAGGAAGGGAGGGGGAAGGGCACCUUUAUCCUAUCUAUAGGAGGCUUCGCCCCUUAUCCAACAUCUGAAUUAAGGAUCAUCUAUUCUCAUCUUUAACUAUUAGAAAAAUUAUCCAAUUCUACCUCCAAGAGUAUCGGGUGAC